AGUUUGGAUCCUGGCUCAGGAUGAACGCUGGCGGCGUGCCUUAACACAUGCAAGUCGAACGGUGAACACGGAGCUUGCUCUGUGGGAUCAGUGGCGAACGGGUGAGUAACACGUGAGCAACCUGCCCCUGACUCUGGGAUAAGCGCUGGAAACGGCGUCUAAUACUGGAUAUGUGACGUGACCGCAUGGUCUGCGUUUGGAAAGAUUUUUCGGUUGGGGAUGGGCUCGCGGCCUAUCAGCUUGUUGGUGAGGUAAUGGCUCACCAAGGCGUCGACGGGUAGCCGGCCUGAGAGGGUGACCGGCCACACUGGGACUGAGACACGGCCCAGACUCCUACGGGAGGCAGCAGUGGGGAAUAUUGCACAAUGGGCGGAAGCCUGAUGCAGCAACGCCGCGUGAGGGAUGACGGCCUUCGGGUUGUAAACCUCUUUUAGCAGGGAAGAAGCGAAAGUGACGGUACCUGCAGAAAAAGCGCCGGCUAACUACGUGCCAGCAGCCGCGGUAAUACGUAGGGCGCAAGCGUUAUCCGGAAUUAUUGGGCGUAAAGAGCUCGUAGGCGGUUUGUCGCGUCUGCUGUGAAAUCCCGAGGCUCAACCUCGGGCCUGCAGUGGGUACGGGCAGACUAGAGUGCGGUAGGGGAGAUUGGAAUUCCUGGUGUAGCGGUGGAAUGCGCAGAUAUCAGGAGGAACACCGAUGGCGAAGGCAGAUCUCUGGGCCGUAACUGACGCUGAGGAGCGAAAGGGUGGGGAGCAAACAGGCUUAGAUACCCUGGUAGUCCACCCCGUAAACGUUGGGAACUAGUUGUGGGGUCCAUUCCACGGAUUCCGUGACGCAGCUAACGCAUUAAGUUCCCCGCCUGGGGAGUACGGCCGCAAGGCUAAAACUCAAAGGAAUUGACGGGGACCCGCACAAGCGGCGGAGCAUGCGGAUUAAUUCGAUGCAACGCGAAGAACCUUACCAAGGCUUGACAUAUACGAGAACGGGCCAGAAAUGGUCAACUCUUUGGACACUCGUAAACAGGUGGUGCAUGGUUGUCGUCAGCUCGUGUCGUGAGAUGUUGGGUUAAGUCCCGCAACGAGCGCAACCCUCGUUCUAUGUUGCCAGCACGUAAUGGUGGGAACUCAUGGGAUACUGCCGGGGUCAACUCGGAGGAAGGUGGGGAUGACGUCAAAUCAUCAUGCCCCUUAUGUCUUGGGCUUCACGCAUGCUACAAUGGCCGGUACAAAGGGCUGCAAUACCGUGAGGUGGAGCGAAUCCCAAAAAGCCGGUCCCAGUUCGGAUUGAGGUCUGCAACUCGACCUCAUGAAGUCGGAGUCGCUAGUAAUCGCAGAUCAG
rnacentral:rRNA from 1 species